GGAAAUCCACAUUGGAACUGAGGAGAGUGGAAAUCACCUGGUGACCACUGGAUGGGUCCCGGAGACAAAAACUCCUUAUCUGAGGAGUUUAGAAGCCAGCAGCGACCACCUGGUGACCAUCGAACAGGCCCUCCGGAGGCAAAACUCCCUACAUCUGGAGAAAAUCAAAAGUACUAGUAACAUCCCCUUUGACAAGUGAAGAAACCGAGGCUUGGCAAGGUUAAUCAGCGUGCCCAAGGUCAGCCAGCUCCCUGAAGUCUGACUCUACCAGCCUCAACCGUUACCAGGGCGGCGAUGGUCAGCAGUCACAAUUACCAGGGGCUGCAGGAGAUCGUCAAAAUCUCGCAGAGCCUACGAUGAAGAAGACACAAGAGUUUGAGAGAGAGGAAGUCACUCGCUCCAGGUCAGCCAGCCAGCAAAUUGGGGAGGUCAGCCUUCAGAGCUCUGGCAACAGACCACUGCCAUGUCACAAAUAGCUUCCCAGCUUGCGAGAGUGUCUGGUAAGGGAUGAGUGAAUGGGGGAGACGGCAGGAAACUCAGCAGCCACAAAAGGGAGAGAUGUGCAGCCUGUUCAGGAACGAACACCAGGUGGAACAAAAGCGGGGCAGAACAAGAGCAUGUGCAUCCUCUUACCACCAUGACAUUAAGGCCAUGUCUGCACCCGGACCAAGAUGGGAAGGGAGCACAGAGCUGUGACUUCAGGGAAUAGGAAGGAUGGCAACAGACAUGGGGUUCUCUAUGACUUUCCAUUUUAUCUUCCAUUUUCACAGUAAGUUUUAAAACUCUACGUCUCCAGAUUCAGCAUGAGAAGGAGAAGUUCCUUGAAUCCUCUGGGCACUGGGGACAGCCAGUCCACCCACCCUGGGUAACAAAGGGAUGUGGUCAGUCCUCACGUGAGGAGGGACUGAGUGUCCUCCAUGGACCUGCGACGUCCCGUCUGUGAGGCCCUCGCUACUUUCUGCAAAUUUCUACAUGGAUCAGAGACAGGAGAAGCAGGCACACUGAUGGUUGUCUAGCACCACGUGCCAGUUUUUGGCAGUCGGGACCACCUCGACUUCCUGUCUCCAGGCAGGGUGGGGAGGGAAUGGUCCUUAUGCCCCAGGAGAGCCUCAAGGGCUGUGCACACCCUGCAAUGCAGGCACACCCCCUUCCACCCUCUGAAUGCUCUGCCACAAACAGCCACUGCGAGCGUAAUGAAGCCCCCAAAACAGGGAGCCCUGUGACUCACCACUGCUGCUUCAGGGACAGGGACAACUGCCAGAAUUCUUAGCUCUCUUUUACAGAUGGGGAAAUUGGGACUCAGAGAGGGAUGCGAUCUCUCCAAGCUCACACAGCCAAUCUGUGGCAGGGGAAUGAGAAAGUCUGGUCUGGUCUCCUCUCCCCAUGGCUGGGGCUCUCUCUGCAGUCCCGCCCUAUGCCCAGCCUGCACCCUCACCUGCCCCUGGCUCCUGGACUGGCAACUCAAGUCGUGACACGGACACGCUUUACCGAAUUUGCCUCCACACUUUGAGCGACUCAUUAGUAUAAAAAACACGUUCCUCACCACCCUUGCCAGAAGAUUCUUGACACAACACAGUUGGGGGGUUGGCACGCUCUCUCCGUUGUUAAGUAUUUAUAUAUAGUUAGUAUUGGAAUGGUCCCCGGACACCGAUCCAAGUCUCCCGUUUUCAGAUGGGGGGCACCAGGCUUAGGGUCAGGACCCCCCUGGAACAAUUCAGUAGCACAGCUGAGACAUAAAUCCACAGAGCCUGCCCUGAACUUUCCAGCUGCUCCUUGGCAAAUGGGCCAUGGGGAAAAAAAAUAAAUAAAGGCUGCCACUUACUAAGCAUUUGCUCUGUGCCAGGCACUUUGCAUAAAUCGGUGCUAAAUCUUAUCCUAAUUCUCUCAGGGAGGCAUUUUUAUCCCCAUUUUGCAGAUGAGCAAGCUGAGGCUCAGAGAGGGCAAGCCACCUGCCCAAGGUCACAGAGCCAGGGGCUGGAAAUGGCACACAUUUCUUCCCCCACGCCAGGGUUGGCAAAUGAUAGCCCAUAGGCAAAUUGAG
rnacentral:lncRNA from 10 species